UACGGGGGGGGCAAGCGUUGUUCGGAAUUACUGGGCGUAAAGGGCGCGUAGGCGGCAAUUCAAGUCAGCUGUGAAAUCUCCGGGCUUAACUCGGAACGGUCAGCUGAUACUGCUUUGCUAGAGUGCAGAAGGGGCAAUCGGAAUUCUUGGUGUAGCGGUGAAAUGCGUAGAUAUCAAGAGGAACACCUGAGGUGAAGACGGGUUGCUGGGCUGACACUGACGCUGAGGCGCGAAAGCUAGGGUAGCAAACGGG
rnacentral:rRNA from 1 species